ACACAGUAACAGAGGGAUUGAGGGCCCUGCUCAGUGAGUUUACAUGUUAGAGGGAGUGGGGUAUAGUGACAGUAACAGAGGGAUUGAGGGCCCUGCUCAGUGAGUUUACAUGUUAGAGGGAGUGGGGUAUAGUGACAGUAACAGAGGGAUUGAGGGCCCUGCUCAGUGAGUUUACAUACUAGAGGGAGUGGGGUAUAGUGACAGUAACAGAGGGAUUGAGGGCCCUGCUCAGUGAGUUUACAUGCUAGAGGGAGUGGGGUAUAGUGACACAGUAACAGAGGGAUUGAGGGUCCUGCUCAGUGAGUUUACAUGUUAGAGGGAGUGGG